CAAGGUAUAUUAAUGGCCUGAAAAUUUCCAUUCAAGAAAAAAUUGGUUUGCAGAAUAUGUGGACUUUGCAAAAGGAGAUUAAUAUGGCGUUAAAGGCUGAGUUGUUGGAGAAGGAGAAACGCCAAACUAAUUAUCGCAGGAACACGAUGGAUCAUUCAAAAAAUGUUGCUACUUUUCCUAGUGACAAGGGGAACACACAGCUGUAAAACUUUGGCGGAUCGUCAAAGCCGUCGAACCUCCAAAGUAAAAGUGGCAAUGAGGGCAUCAGCCGGUCUUCCAAUAGAGUGCAGACCCGGAACCAGCCCCAGAAGGAGAAUCUGUAUGCUAAGGCCUUUACAGAUAUUUGUUAUCAAUGCCAAAAACCAGGGCAUCGUUCCAACGUUUGUCCCUAGUGGAGGCAAGCUAAUUUUAUAGAAGACGUCGGUGAUGACAAAGAAAAUGACGAAGUUGUAGAUGAUGGUUAUGCAGGGGCCGAGUUUGCAAUUGAGGAGGGAAUGGAAAGGCUUACUUUGGUUUUACAACGUGUUCUUUUGGCACCAAAAGAGGAAGGGCAGCGACACAACAUUUUCCGUUCUCUUUGUUCAAUCAAAAAUAAAAUAUGUGAUGUGAUCGUAGGCAAUGGGAGUUGCGAGAAUUUUGUGUCAAAAAAAUUGGUGGAGCUUUUGCAGCUACCAACAGAGCCACAUAUCAGCCCUUAUUCUCUGGGUUGGGUUAAAAAAGGACCUUCAGUUCGUGUUGCUGAGACUUGCCUUGUGCCAUUCUCCAUUGGUAAGCAUUACAGAGAUGAUGUCGUAUGUGAUGUUAUUGAUAUGGAUGCAUGUCAUAUCUUGUUGGGGUGACCUUGGCAAUUUGAUGUGGAUGCAACCUUUGAGGGUCGAGAUAGCGUGAUCUAGUUUUCUUGGAACAACCACAAGAUUGCGAUGGCUACUACAGUGCCCUCAAAAAAAUUGGUCGAGCCCAAAACUAAGAGUUCUAGUUUUCUAACUCUAAUCAGCAGCGAGCAAGAGUUAAAUGAGGAAAUAAAAGAAGCAAAUUAUUUUUGUCCCAUGGUGUUGAAGGGGCUGUUAAAAGCCAGCAAAGAAGAAAAUGUAAUUCCUCCUAAAGUGCAGCAGAUUGUGUCAAAAUUUCAGGAACUAAUUUCUGACAAGCUGCCAAACGAGUUGCCGCCAUUGAGAGAUAUACAACACCACAUUGAUUUGGUACCUGGGGCUAGUCUACCAAAUUGCCACAUUAUCGCAUGAGCCUUAAAGAGAACGACAUCCUAAGAUAGUAGAUUGAAGAGUUGUUACAGAGGGGUUUUAUCAGGGAGAGCUUGAGUCCAUGUGCGGUUCCAAUCCUUCUUGUUCCAAAGAAAGAUCAGUCAUGGUGUAUGUGUGUCGAUAGUCGAGCAAUCAACAAGAUUACAAUAAAAUAUAGAUUUCCCAUCCCGCGAUUGGAAGAUAUGUUGGAUGUGCUCGAAGGCUCUAAGGUGUUUUCCAAAAUAGAUUUGCGCAGCGGAUACCACCAAAUUCGCAUCAGGCCAAGCGACGAGUGGAAAACAGCAUUUAAGAGCAAGGAAGGGUUAUACGAAUGUUUAGUGAUGCCGUUUGGAUUGUCAAAUGUGCCUAGCACCUUCAUGAGACUUAUGAAUCAAGUUCUUCGACCAUUUAUUGGUUCUUUUGUCGCGGUUUAUUUUGAUGAUAUUUUAAUUUACAGCACCUCAAAAGAAGAGCAUCUCAUGCAUGUGAGACAAGUCUUAGGAGUUUUGAAAGAAAAUAAGCUAUAUGUGAAUCUGAAAAAAUGUACUUUUUGCACAAAUAAGCUACUGUUUUUGGGUUUUGUGGUUGGUGAGAAUGGUUUCCAAGUGGAUGACGAGAAGAUUAAAGAAAUUCUUGACUGGCCAACUCCAAAAACAGUCUCUGAAGUUCGAAGCUUCCAUGGUUUGGCCACUUUUUACAGGAGGUUUGUGAGGCAUUUCAGUUCGAUUGUCGCACCUAUUACUGAAUGUUUGAAGAAGGGCAGGUUCAAUUGGGGAGAAGAGCAAGAAAAAAGUUUUGCUCUUGUAAAAAAAAAAC
rnacentral:lncRNA from 1 species